GAGAGAGAGAGAGAGAGAGAUUGAUAGGAUCACCGCCGUGCAUUUGCAUGUGAAUCUUGAUGAUGCUACACCCGCAAACAACGACUGUCAAUCUAUCCAUCCAUGCACAAGGAUCCUUCCUUUAUAUAUAUACAUAUACAUAGAGGGAUUCAAAGACGAUCAAAAUAAUAUUUUUCCAAACUAAAUUUUCAUGUAUUUUGUGAUUAUUAAAGAAAAUCUUCUGCAACCCAUGUAGCAACAAAGCCACGAGCACUAUCUGACGUGGCCUGUUACCACUGGUUAAAAUCCCAAAGGAUUACGUGAAGGGUGCCGGAGAAGAAUCCACCCUCCAGGGCUGAACUCAUUCUUCAACAUAUUAGCUACCAAAGAAAACAAAACCAAAUCCUGCUUUCGGUAAUUCAAAAUUAUAUUCAAACUUUAUUAUAUAAAUAUCAUGAAUAAAUUGGGAAAAACAGAAAGCACAAAAGAAAAAAAAAAAGAAUAGAAAGCUAGCUAUGUGAUUUCAGAAUUCACAGAUUUUGGCAUGUGGGUCUGAUUUCUCUGGUUAGAUUGUGACAAAAAGAUAUAUUUAUCGAAAAUUUCGAGUCAGAAAAAUGCCAAAAUCGCCAAAAAGAAGGGAUUCAAAAUUUGUUCAUGAUUGCUAAUUCAUAAUCAUAUAUCUAUAUGACCUCCUGUAACCUGUAGGUAGAUCACAUACUGCAAAUAAUUAGUGAAAAACAUAAAAUAUCUGACAUACAAGAACCAGUCAAUUCUUGAAAAAAAGAACAGGAAAAAAAAAGGAAAAGAAAAGGCAAACCAAUCUUAAUUUUCUUGUGAUAAGCAAGAAAAUAAAGAUGAAGCAAAAAUUUGAUAUAUAAAGGUUUGAGGGAGAGAUGGAGAAGAAGAGGAAAAUAACACCUCAAAGAAGG
rnacentral:misc_RNA from 1 species